GACGAACGCUGGCGGCGGGCUUAACACAUGCAAGUCGAACGGUAAACCUCUUCAGAGGGGAGCAGUGGCGAACGGGUGCGUAACACGUGGGCAACCUGCCCCCGGCUCUGGGAUAACUCCAAGAAAUUGGGGCUAAUACCGGAUGUUCACCGCUUCGCGCCUGGGUGGUGGUGGAAAGGGUUUCCGGCUGGGGCUGGGCCCGCGGCCGAUCGGCUUGUUGGUGGGGUAAUGGCCUACGUAGGCGGGGACGGGUAGCCGCACUGAGAGGAGGGCGAGCCACACUGGAAGUGAGACACGCUCCAGAGGCCUAGGGGAGGCACCAGUGGGGAAUAGGGGGCAAUGGGGGGGAAACUGAUGCAGCCGGGCCGAGGGUGUGAAGAGGGCCUUCGGGUUGGGAAGGACGGUCUGCGGGGAGGAAGCGUGUUAAGGGAAGACCGAGGCGCAUUGACGGUACCCGCAGAAGAAGCACCGGCUAAAUCCGUG
rnacentral:rRNA from 1 species